rnacentral:rRNA from 1 species
GGGGUCCGAGUUGUAAUCUCUAAAAGUGUUUUCCGCGUUGGACCGCAACAAGUCUGUUGGAAACAGGGGCAUAGUGGUGAGACCCCCGUAUAUGGUGCGGACGCCCAACGCUUUGUGAUACACUUUCGAAGAGUCGAGUUGUUUGGGAAUGCAGCUCAAAUUGGGUGGUAAAUUCCAUCUAAAGCUAAAUAUUGGCGAGAGACCGAUAGCGAACAAGUACCGUGAGGGAAAGAUGAAAAGCACUUUGGAAAGAGAGUUAACAGUACGUGAAAUUGUUGGAAGGGAAACGCUUGAAGUCAGACUUGCUUGCCGAGCAAUCGGUUUGCAGGCCAGCAUCAGUUUUCCGGGGUGGAUAAUGGUAGAGAGAAGGUAGCAGUUUCGGCUGUGUUAUAGCUCUCUGCUGGAUACACCUUGGGGGACUGAGGAACGCAGUGUGCCUUACGGCGGAUUUCUCGAGAUCUUCACACUUAGGAUGCUGGUGGAAUGGCUUUAAACGAC